rnacentral:rRNA from 1 species
CUACGUAGGUGGCAAGCGUUGUCCGGAUUUAUUGGGCGUAAAGCGAGCGCAGGCGGUUUCUUAAGUCUGAUGUGAAAGCCCCCGGCUUAACCGGGGAGGGUCAUUGGAAACUGGGAGACUUGAGUGCAGAAGAGGAGAGUGGAAUUCCAUGUGUAGCGGUGAAAUGCGUAGAUAUAUGGAGGAACACCAGUGGCGAAGGCGACUCUCUGGUCUGUAACUGACUCUGAGGCUCGAAAGCGUGGGGAGCAAACAGGAUUAGAUACCCGGGUAGUCCACGCCGUAAACGAUGAGUGCUAAGUGUUGGAGGGUUUCCGCUCUUCAGUGCUUCAGCUAACGCAUUAAGCACUCCGCCUGGGGAGUACGGCCGCAAGGGUGAAACUCAAAUGAAUUUACGGG